rnacentral:tRNA from 1 species
CGGCGCGUGCCGGAGCCAGGUCAAACGGGCGGGGUUCAAGCCCCCGUGCGGGAAGCCGCUUCGCAGGUCCAAAUCCUGCCGCGCCGA